UGGGGAAUAUUGCACAAUGGGCGCAAGCCUGAUGCAGCAACGCCGCGUGAACGAUGAAGGUCUUCGGAUCGUAAAGUUCUGUUGCAGGGGAAGAUAAUGACGGUACCCUGUGAGGAAGCCCCGGCUAACUACGUGCCAGCAGCCGCGGUAAUACGUAGGGGGCUAGCGUUGUUCGGAUUUACUGGGCGUAAAGCGCACGUAGGCGGACUAUUAAGUCAGGGGUGAAAUCCCGGGGCUCAACCCCGGAACUGCCUUUGAUACUGGUAGUCUUGAGUUCGAGAGAGGUGAGUGGAAUUCCGAGUGUAGAGGUGAAAUUCGUAGAUAUUCGGAGGAACACCAGUGGCGAAGGCGGCUCACUGGCUCGAUACUGACGCUGAGGUGCGAAAGCGUGGGGAGCAAACAGG
rnacentral:rRNA from 1 species